rnacentral:tRNA from 1 species
CGGGGUAUAGCUCAGUUGGCAGAGCUUCGGACUCUUAAUCCGCGUGUCGCUGGUUCGAGCCCAGCUGCCCCGACCA